rnacentral:rRNA from 1 species
UGGUUAUGGGUCUACAUUUAUUGGGUCUUUUUCUUAAUGAUUUAAGAGGUGAAAUUUAUAGUUCAGUAAAGGAAUGGAGUUAGUGGAUUGUCUCAGAGGCCAUUAAGGUUCAGAUUUAAACCAGGAUUAGAUACCCUGUUAUACUGGACUUAAAAUACGUUGCUUGACUAGUACCAGUUAUUAUCUUGAAAUUUAAAGGAUUUGGCGGUAUCCAAGUCUAGUUAGAGGAACCUGCCAUUUGAACGAUAUGCCACGAAUUAUCUUACUUUAUCUUGUUUUCAGUAUGUAUACCGCCAUUAUUAGGUGGCGUAUUAAUAUGUCCAUUAAAAUUAAUUUAUGUUAAGUAUAUUAGGUCAAGGUGCAGCCUAUGGUAAAGUUAUAGGUGGGUUACAAUGUAUUGUAUAUAUUAACGAAUGGCUUUUUUAAAUUAAAGCUUGAAGGUGGAUUUAAUAGUAUUUCUGUUUUAGUAAGUUAGAUUGAUAAUAGCUCUAGGAUAUGUACACAUCGCCCGUCGCUCUCAUUAUUUAAAGUGAGAUAAGUCGUA